UAAGAUAUCUCCUAAAUCCUCCCAUCAAUAAGAUCUCUCCUAAAUCUACUCUCUCCAUUCGUUACCAAGAGAGAAUCUCUUGAAAUCUCCCAAGCUCCAUACCCUUUUGCGCCAGACCUCAUUAUAAAGAUAGAACUGUCCAUCAUCUUCCCUACAUUCCAAAGAGCUGGCCAUUGUUCCUUGCAAGCUUGCUGGUGAUAUUGUGACCUGGAACUGAAGUUAAAGCUCUUCAGUUCAAAGGUUUGGGAGCCUUCAUUUAGUUUUUCAGAGUUUUUCCACCGUCUUGACUGAGUUGUGAUCAAAUCAAUUUUUUAUGCAGAUUAGUCCCGAUGAAAUCUGAAACCUGGUAGCUCUUCAAGGUUUCUAUUUAUUUACUUUUUUCUUUAGCUUUGAGUGCUUCAAAGGGAGUAAGUUUUACAUGGUAAGACAAUCAGGAUUGAAUUCUGAAUCACUUAUACACACGACACUAUCUCUAUCAGCUCUAAUAAUAAGCUGGAGACGGCUUUUAAAGCUUUUAAACUAUGCUUUCUAUACUUCCCCACCCUUUAUACUUUGAGUAAUGUAGUGGUUAUAUUUCCAAAUAAUAGAAAUGGGUUUAUCUAUUAAGAAAAAGAAGUUCUAACCACCACUAACAAACAAGGUUGAAUCUACUCAGCAUGGUUAAAACCAUGUCCUGUAAAUAGCAAAAAGCAACGUGGGGUUGAAUCAGUCUGUCGCAUGUAUGCUCUCACCUGGCUUUGUCCCUUGACAUGUGAUUCACUUUUAGUGACUGUUCUUUUUUAUUUUUAAAACAUAAAGUGACUGAUGUUUUUCACUGAUGUCAUAUCAUAAAAUUAUUGCCUAAGGAUGCCAAAAUUUAGUAUUGUUUAGCAGUUUUGACUAAAUCAGUUCAUGUGCAUGCAUGUGCAUCAUAUCAAGAGAAUAUCCUACUAAAGAUUGGAAGAGUCAGUAUUGUGGGGAGUUCUAGCAUACUUCUUUCUUAUUGAAUGCACGACAUUACGGUUUGAUAUCAAGGAUAACCGAAGUCAGCUGAUAUGAGUGCCAAACACCCAGCAUACGCUAAAAAGUUCCCUGAAAUAUACUGUAACCAUUGGCCUGGCUUCUUUCAAUACAAGAUUUAUUGUUUAAGUACCUAGAAUUCUCUCACUUAUUAUUUUGUAAGAAAGGUUCAGUGGUGUUUCUGCAAUAGGUACAACUGACAUGGCAUCCAUUCUUACUUAGCACCCCUGACCUUAAUUACUUUGCUGAGGAUGUGUUUCAGAUAGAUUAUUAAGUGUUCUGUCAGAGUUUCAUUUCAUUUGAUAUACAGUUUGUUCUAUUUUUUUACAAGAGUGGUUUGCCCAGAAGAAAAUAUUGAUAUUCUAAAUUGGUUUUUGAAUGUCAGACAUUGCGUUGGAGACAAAGUGAAUGUUCUUUUCUAGCCUCUGUUUUUUGGUGAUGCUUUGGAAGAAUUGUUGUAGUUUUCAGCUUCCAACUGCUUCUUUAUUUCCCUUGGAAUUUCAAACUUUGAUCAUCAAUGUGGGAAUUCAACUGAGUCGACUUACCUGUUAUAGGAUGCAGGUGGCAAAAGACUGGUGCUCUCAUUAACCUCAGAACUUUCUACAUUGUGGGAAUUCCAACUGUUGUUCUUUUGGCUCUCGUCUUCCAUUUUGGAGGAAACCUUU